rnacentral:tRNA from 1 species
GACCCACUGGCCUAAUGGAUAAGGCAUCAGCCUGCGGAGCCGGGGACUGUGGGCCCGAGUCCUGUCUGGGUUG